rnacentral:tRNA from 2 species
GUCCCUGUAGCUUACAAUAAAGCAUGGCACUGAAGAUGCCAAGAUGGCUCAACAUUCACCCCAGGGACA